rnacentral:rRNA from 1 species
AUUGAACGCUGGCGGCAUGCCUUACACAUGCAAGUCGAACGGUAACAGGUCUUCGGAUGCUGACGAGUGGCGAACGGGUGAGUAAUACAUCGGAACGUGCCCGAUCGUGGGGGAUAACGAAGCGAAAGCUUUGCUAAUACCGCAUAAGAUCUACGGAUGAAAGCAGGGGACCGCAAGGCCUUGCGCGAACGGAGCGGCCGAUGGCAGAUUAGGUAGUUGGUGGGAUAAAAGCUUACCAAGCCGACGAUCUGUAGCUGGUCUGAGAGGACGACCAGCCACACUGGGACUGAGACACGGCCCAGACUCCUACGGGAGGCAGCAGUGGGGAAUUUUGGACAAUGGGCGAAAGCCUGAUCCAGCCAUGCCGCGUGCAGGAUGAAGGCCUUCGGGUUGUAAACUGCUUUUGUACGGAACGAAAAGACUCUUUCUAAUAAAGAGGGUCCAUGACGGUACCGUAAGAACAAGCACCGGCUAACUACGUGCCAGCCGCCGCCGUAAGAC